UACGUAGGGUGCAAGCGUUAAUCGGAAUUACUGGGCGUAAAGCGUGCGCAGGCGGUGAUGUAAGACCGAUGUGAAAUCCCCGGGCUUAACCUGGGAACUGCAUUGGUGACUGCAUUGCCGGAGUAUGGCAGAGGGGGGUGGAAUUCCACGUGUAGCAGUGAAAUGCGUAGAGAUGUGGAGGAACACCGAUGGCGAAGGCAGCCCCCUGGGCCAAUACUGACGCUCAUGCACGAAAGCGUGGGGAGCAAACAGG
rnacentral:rRNA from 1 species